GGCACCGUAGCCAAGUGGUAAGGCAGCGGUCUGCAAAACCGCUAUUCGCGGGUUCGAUUCCCGCCGGUGCCU
rnacentral:tRNA from 2 species